AACGAACGCUGGCGGCAGGCCUAACACAUGCAAGUCGAACGCUCCAGCAAUGGAGAGUGGCAGACGGGUGAGUAACACGUGGGAACCUUCCCUUUGGUUCGGAAUAGCCCAGGGAAACUUGGGGUAAUACCGGAUAAGCCCUUACGGGGAAAGAUUUAUCGCCGAAGGAUGGGCCCGCGUCGGAUUAGCUAGUUGGUGGGGUAACGGCCUACCAAGGCGACGAUCCGUAGCUGGUCUGAGAGGAUGAUCAGCCACACUGGGACUGAGACACGGCCCAGACUCCUACGGGAGGCAGUAGUGGGGAAUAUUGGACAGUGGGCGCAAGCCUGAUCCAGCCAUGCCGCGUGAGUGACGAAGGCCUUAGGGUUGUAAAGCCCUUUUGGCGGGGAAGAUAAUGACGGUACCCGCAGAAUAAGCUCCGGCUAACUUCGUGCCAGCAGCCGCCGUAAUAC
rnacentral:rRNA from 1 species